rnacentral:rRNA from 1 species
CCUACGGGAGGCAGCAGUGGGGGAUAUUGCACAAUGGGGGAAACACUGAUGCAGCGACGCCGCGUGAGUGAAGAAGUAUUUCGGUAUGUAAAGCUCUAUCAGCAGGGAAGAAAAUGACAGUACCUGACCAAGAAGCCCCGGCUAACUACGUGCCAGCAGCCGCGGUAAUACGUAGGGGGCAAGGGUUAUCCGGAUUUACGGGGUGUAAAGGGAGCGUAGACGGUUAUGUAAGGCUGGGGUGAAAGCCCGGGGUCCAACCCCGGGACUGCUUUGGAAACUGUGUAACUGGAGUACAGGAGGGGCAGGCGGAGUUCCUGGUGUAGCGGUGAAGUGCGUAGUUAUCAGGAGGAACACCGGCGGCGAAGGCGGCCUGCUGGACUGAAACUGACGUUGAGGCUCGAAAGCGUGGGGAGCAAACCGGCUUCGGUACCCCCGUCGU